GAUGAACGCUGGCGGCGUGCCUAAUACAUGCAAGUCGAGCGAACAGACGAGGAGCUUGCUCCUCUGACGUUAGCGGCGGACGGGUGAGUAACACGUGGAUAACCUACCUAUAAGACUGGGAUAACUUCGGGAAACCGGAGCUAAUACCGGAUAAUAUAUUGAACCGCAUGGUUCAAUAGUGAAAGACGGUUUUGCUGUCACUUAUAGAUGGAUCCGCGCCGCAUUAGCUAGUUGGUAAGGUAACGGCUUACCAAGGCAACGAUGCGUAGCCGACCUGAGAGGGUGAUCGGCCACACUGGAGCUGAGACACGGUCCAGACUCCUACGGGAGGCAGCAGUAGGGAAUCUUCCGCAAUGGGCGAAAGCCUGACGGAGCAACGCCGCGUGAGUGGUGAAGGUCUUCGGAUCGUAAAACUCUGUUAUUAGGGAAGAACAGAUGUGUAAGUAACUAUGCACGUCUUGACGGUACCUAAUCAGAAAGCCACGGCUAACUACGUG
rnacentral:rRNA from 1 species